ACGGUGGCCGAUAAGUGCAAAACAACAUUACAAAGUGUGAAACACUUUUACGAAGCUCGAGACAAAUUUACAUUUUGGAAAACAUUUUUACUUACUAUAAAACACAAUUACAUGGGGAAAACACAUUUACCAAGGACGAAACAAAUUUACAUUUUAGAAAACAAAUUGACAAGAGGCAAAACACUUUUACCAGUCCCGAAACAAAUUUACAAUGACAGAUUUUUCACGGAAAGGGAAAGUACCACACACCGGAAGUGACGCGGUGAAAGGUGUUGUUGUUGUUGUUGUUGUUGGUGGUGAGCGCGGUAAAUUCGUGUGGUUGUGGAGUAAAUGGCAUUAAUGAAGUUGCGGCCGAGGGAGGUUUUGUGGCAAACACAUGAACAGCUUAACGCGGUUUUUCUUCACUUGUCAUCGAUGUUUGGAGUUUCUAAACGACGCGGACCAGACGGAAACACAAGACAUACUCUGCAUCAAUGUGUUCAAUAUUUUAACGAGGUCCACUCGUACCCUGUAAUCAUCGACAUGAUGUCAAGUCUACACGGUGUAAACAUCAGCUUGAGGGCUCUUAAAAGUAAACUGAACGAAGCGUUGUACCGCAGAAGAAAGGAUACUUGGAUGAGUGUGUGAGACUGUGGAACAGUCACAGCAUUCGCCCUUCCAGAACAGCAGCAUGUUCGGGAGUGCCCAAUGAACUCUACUACUUACCACACAGGUUUGCCUCCAGAGACUGCAGAUUUCAAAUUGGAUAGGCUGAACUGGAUGCCCUUACUGAGGCAGCCUGUCAUUGACUCCUUGUGGGGACCCAAACAAGCAGGAGUACUUGGACUUUGCCAUGGAACACAAUCAGUUACAGAAACCAGAGAACUGGGACUCUGCACCAGAACUGUACAUGAAACUAAUCUAAUAUGUCUCAACUAUGAAAUUAUAAAAAAAAAGGGAGUUUUUUGUAGUGGUGGAAUACUGCUGUCUGUCUGAACACAAUGUUUAUGAAUCUGUCCCCCACAGCUUAAUUGUUUUUGUGUAAGGUAAAUUAAUCAAAAAUACUAAUAAUUAUUUAAUAAAUUUUUGUAGUAUAGAAAACAAAA